GCAUAUAUUCUUAAUGGAGUCCAAAACACGCGAGUUUCACAAAAGCUACACAAGUUCAGUUGCUCAUUAAACCUCUGAUCGUCAUACAUGAGCUACUAACAGUAACAAAAUUGGACUCCCUGAACAAGUUCAUAUUAAAGCGCAAUUUUUUGCGGCAAUUUUCAGAGAGAAAUCAACACUUAACAAAAGAACUAGUCACCUGUGCGGUGAUCUAAUCUAUGUUUCCAUUAAAAACCUCACCCUUUUGGAACACUUCUUACCUUCUCGUCCAUGCAAAUCUGAUUUUUUGAGGCAGGAUUUUAUGUUUGGCAGGGGUACAACAUACUUUGAUAGUCUUGUCUUUUUCUCAUAUGGGUCAAGCCAAUACAGGAUAUUUGGUUCACCAAAUAUAUUUUUUUUCCUCUUUGCAUACUGAUAAGCAGCCACUGCAUCAGGCUGGUGUAAGAAAACAACCAGGGCAGAGCCCAUUCGAGUAUAGAUUUUGGUUCUAAAUGAGUCUACUUCGCCAAAUCUACUAAAUUUCCUUAUCAAAUCCUUCUUGGAUGGAAGGCUAAAAUCCUUGGGGAAUUUCAUGUACAAAGAUUGAUAAUUGCCAAUAGUAUCAUGUGUUGAUUGCUGAGCUGCUUGCGGCUUGAAUGAUACAUGAGAAGUAACAAGUGGAUGAAGCUUCUUAUUAUCCAUAGAGCAGUCUCUGAAAGUUGCAUCAGUGCAUACUUGUCUAUUGGUUUCCACAGAUGUUUCAUCCAUAGAACUGUCUCUGAGAGCUACAUUGACGCUUAGUUGUCUAUUGGUUUCCACAGAUGUUUCAUCCAUAGAACUGUCUCUGAGAGCUACAUUGACGCUUAG
rnacentral:misc_RNA from 1 species